rnacentral:piRNA from 1 species
UGGUGAAUUAGGGUUUUCAAGUAUUGCA